UACGUGGGGAGCAAGCGUUGUUCGGAUUUACUGGGCGUAAAGGGCGCGUAGGCGGCGUGACAAGUCAGUUGUGAAAUCUCCGGGCUUAACUCGGAACGGUCAAGUGAUACUGUCGUGCUAGAGUACAGAAGGGGCAACUGGAAUUCUCGGUGUAGCGGUGAAAUGCGUAGAUAUCGAGAGGAACACCUGCGGCGAAGGCGGGUUGCUGGGCUGAUACUGACGCUGAGGCGCGAAAGCCAGGGGAGCGAACGGG
rnacentral:rRNA from 1 species